UAGUGGAAAUUGUCCAUUAAAUGUGUAUGUAUGUACAGGGUCUUUCGAAUUCAUGUUUCUUUUUUAAAUUCAAACUCAAUGCAUUACUUAUUUGUUAUAUUUAGUACAGUCAGCGGCAAAAGAGAGGUAAACCAUAUAUUGAUAAGUUGUGACUAUUUAACACAUGCGCUGAAAACCCUAGUUUCAUUGGAUUCACCUCUUUUUCAGUUAGUACUAACCUUGACCUAAGAAGACAGCUGUUAAAAUUCCUUCAAAUUUUCUAUCUUGGCGUUUUGAAGCAUUUGUUGCAUUACAUUCGUCGAAUUCGCUCUGAAAACCGCGAAGGAGGACGCUGGCGCUUAUUGCAUGACAAAGCACCAUCUUAUCGAUCAACUCUUGUGACGGAUUUUUUGACUGGAAAUCGCAUCUUAGCCAUCAAUCACUUACCGUAUUCGACUGGUCUGGCUCCCUAUGACUUCUACCUAUUCGGAAAAUUGCAUUUGGCCAUGAAAGGAAAACGUUUUGCGGCCGUAGGGGCCAUCCAAAAGGCUUGUACCAACAUAUUGCAGGACAUGCCGGUCAAUGACCUGAAACACCCUUUCGAGAUCGCGCAAAACAGUGUAUCGAGGUCAGAGGGAACUAUUUUGAAUAAAUAAAUUCCAAGUUAUCAGAACAAAG